rnacentral:rRNA from 1 species
CAGUAGCCGCGUAAUACGAAGGGGGCUAGCGUUGUUCGGAAUUACUGGGCGUAAAGCGCACGUAGGCGGAUAUUUAAGUCAGGGGUGAAAUCCCGCAGCUCAACUGCGGAACUGCCUUUGAUACUGGGUAUCUUGAGUAUGGAAGAGGUUAGUGGGAUUGCGAGUGUAGAGGUGAAAUUCGUAGAUAUUCGCAGGAACACCAGUGGCGAAGGCGGCUAACUGGUCCAUAACUGACGCUGAGGUGCGAAAGCGUGGGGAGCAAACAGGAUUAGAUACCCGUGUAGUCCCUGUCUCUUAUACC